GCGGAAGGCAGCAAAGGCAGACAUGCAAGGGAGCUGAUGUUCCAGGGAGCGGACACGAAGCAAGCAACACGAACCCGUGGUGUGAUGUGAUGCGGAGGAAAAACCUGAGCCCCUUCCCAAACGACCUUGCCUUUCUGUGAUUUCUGCUCUGGCUUCUCUGCAAAACCUCCCACUCUACUUACCUCCCCAUGUUCACUGAUGCUGCUCCUGCGUGAGACUCUUAUUGUUCCCAUUUACGUUGUGCUGUCUCAGGCUCCCGCACUGCAUCCGUCUCUCACCUGACUCCAUCGUCAGACUGCAGAGGGGAGGCGAGGGCGUUCCUGGCUGGAUUUCAUGGCUUCACCUUCGGUACUGAAGAAAAGGCCAAGUUCUGGGAUUAUGCAUGCCACUGCUUGACUACUGUCUCCUUGGUUUCUUUGACAGACAUUUAUCCAGCACCUGCUGUGUACCAGGCUCUGUUCUAGGUGCUGAGUAUACAAGAAUGGAGAAGUUCACCUAAAAUGUUACCAUCUUCUCUACAAUAUCUUACCUCAACAACACACUCUUGUGCCUGGAUUGUUGCAAUUGCUUCCGAAUCAGUUUUUCUGUCUCCACUCUUAAUGUCAUUCAAGACUUUCUGCACCUGACAGCACAACAGUCCCUCCAAAGUGUCACUCAGCAGCUUAACCCCCCCACACUGCCCUCGGGAGCAGCCCCCCAGUGUCUCACAGGGCUGAGAUGAUGCCCUCCUUGACUUGAACCUUCAUGCUUCUCAGAGAAACGCCUUUCAACUUGGUGCUGUCAGACCCACGUAGACUCUGCUGAAGCACAGCCAGUUCCUCUCAAUUCUCGAAUGAGCCACCUUCCCUCUCACCUCCAAGUGGCGGCUCACGCUGUUGACUGCCUGCACGAUGUUCUCCCUGGCUCUGCAGUUAAUUGCCUGUGUAUCACUCCUGCACCAUGGAGAAGGCAAUCAGAAACAUCCUUCCUCCU
rnacentral:lncRNA from 10 species